rnacentral:rRNA from 1 species
AACGAACGCUGGCGGCGUGCCUAACACAUGCAAGUCGAACGCGAAAACCCGCAAGGGUGAGUAGAGUGGCGCACGGGUGAGUAACACGUAAACGAUCUGUCUAGGACAUCGGGAUAACCGUUCGAAAGGAUGGCUAAUACCGGAUAAGCCCACGGCUUUGGGGUUGUGGGAAAAGGGUUGGGACCGUCACAGGCCAAUCGGUUUUGGAGGAGUUUGCGGCCCAUCAGGUAGUUGGCGGGGUAAAGGCCCACCAAGCCUAAGACGGGUAGCUGGUCUGAGAGGAUGAUCAGCCACACUGGAACUGAGACACGGUCCAGACUCCUACGGGAGGCAGCAGUGGGGAAUCUUGCGCAAUGGACGAAAGUCUGACGCAGCAACGCCGCGUGGGUGAUGAAGGUCUUCGGAUCGUAAAGCCCUGUCGGAGGGGAAGAUGCUUUAUUUGUCUAAUCGACAGAUAAGGUGACGGUACCCUUAAAGGAAGCACCGGCUAACUCUGUGC